CCUACGGGCGGCAGCAGUGAGGAAUAUUGGUCAAUGGACGCGAGUCUGAACCAGCCAAGCAGCGUGAAGGAUGACUGCCCUCUGGGUUGUAAACUUCUUUUAUAUGGGAAUAAAAUGUUCCACGUGUGGGAUUUUGUAUGUACCAUAUGAAUAAGGAUCGGCUACCUCCGUGCCAGCAGCCGCGGUAAUACGGAGGAUCCGAGCGUUAGCCGGAUUUAUUGGGGUUAAAGGGAGCGUAGGUGGAUUGUUAAGUCAGUUGUGAAAGUGUGCGGCUCAACCGUAAAAUUGCAGUUGAAACUGGCAGUCUAGAGUACAGUAGAGGUGGGCGGAAUUCGUGGGGUAGCGGUGAAAUGCUUAGAUAUCACGAAGAACUCCGAUUGCGAAGGCAGCUCACUGGACUGCAACUGACACUGAGGAUCGAAAGUGUGGGUAUCAAACAGGAUUAGAUACCCGAGUAGUC
rnacentral:rRNA from 1 species